UACGGAGGGGGCUAGCGUUGUUCGGAAUUACUGGGCGUAAAGCGCACGUAGGCGGAUUGGAAAGUCAGAGGUGAAAUCCCAGGGCUCAACCUUGGAACUGCCUUUGAAACUCCCAGUCUUGAGUUCGAGAGAGGUGAGUGGAAUUCCGAGUGUAGAGGUGAAAUGCGUAGAUAUCUGGAGGAACACCGGUGGCGAAGGCGGCAUCCUGGACCAAUACUGACACUGAGGAGCGAAAGCCAGGGGAGCAAACGGGAU
rnacentral:rRNA from 1 species